rnacentral:rRNA from 1 species
CUGCUCAAUGAAUAUUUUAAAUAGCCGCAGUAUAUUGACUGUGCAAAGGUAGCAAAAUAAUUUGUCUUAUAAUUGAAGACUGGAAUGAAAGAGUGAAUGAAGUAGAAUCUUUAUUAUUUUAAAAUUUUAAAUUUAAUUUUAAGUAAAAAUUCUUAAAUAAAUUUAAAAGACGAGAAGACCCUAUAGAAUUUUAAUUAUUAAGAUAUUAAAUAAAAAUAUUUUAUAAUUUAUAUUUUAUAUAUUUAAUAAUUUUUACUGGGGCAGUAUUUAAAUUAAUUAAAAUUUAAAUUUUAAUAACAUGAAUUAAUGAUUAAUUGAUUUUUUUAAAAUUAUUAGAAAAAAUUACCUUAGGGAUAACAGCGUAAUAUUUUUGGAGAGUACUAAUCAAUAAUAAUGUUUGCGACCUCGAUGUUGAAUUAAGAUUAAUAUUAGGUGUAGAAGUUUAAUUUUUAAG